UCAACCCUGGGGUGUUGGCCAGUUGUCCACGUCCUCGAGCCUAUGUUGUACCAACUGGAAGUUUCUCUGACUUUGCUAGUGUGCAGGUCCGCCUAGUAGCGGAAAGCCUUAAGUGAAUCGGUUACUUCCACCUUGAACUUUAGGGUUCAAGGAAUACGACGGCAGCGGCACUCCGGGGUCUAU
rnacentral:other from 1 species